rnacentral:antisense_RNA from 1 species
CUUCACCGAACCGAGCCACAACGGCCGACCAGCCGGCCGGUCCUGACCGUAGGUCGCGAGAAUCGCCUGUGCCUC